GACGAACGCGGGCGGCGUGCUUAACACAUGCAAGUCGAACGGAAAGGCCCUGCUUUUGUGGGGUGCUCGAGUGGCGAACGGGUGAGUAACACGUGAGUAACCUGCCCUUGACUUUGGGAUAUCUUCAGGAAACUGGGGCUAAUACCGGAUAGGAGCUCCUGCUGCAUGGUGGGGGUUGGAAAGUUUCGGCGGUUGGGGAUGGACUCGCGGCUUAUCAGCUUGUUGGUGGGGUAGUGGCUUACCAAGGCUUUGACGGGUAGCCGGCCUGAGAGGGUGACCGGCCACAUUGGGACUGAGAUACGGCCCAGACUCCUACGGGAGGCAGCAGUGGGGAAUAUUGCACAAUGGGCGGAAGCCUGAUGCAGCAACGCCGCGUGCGGGAUGACGGCCUUCGGGUUGUAAACCGCUUUCGCCUGUGACGAAGCGUGAGUGACGGUAAUGGGUAAAGAAGCACCGGCUAACUACGUG
rnacentral:rRNA from 1 species